AUGCAAUCAUGUACAAAUGUCUUCACCUGAAAUCACUGUGGAGCGUAAAAUCAAGCUUUUUAACAAUCUCGCCUGGACAGCAGG